UACGUAGGGUGCAGGCGUUAAUCGGAAUUACUGGGCGUAAAGCGUGCGCAGGCGGUUUCUUAAGUCAGAUGUGAAAGCCCCGGGCUUAACCUGGGAACUGCGUUUGAAACUGGGAGACUUGAGUGUGGCAGAGGGGGGUGGAAUUCCGGGUGUAGCGGUGAAAUGCGCAGAUAUCGGGAGGAACACCAAUGGCGAAGGCAGCUCGCUGGGACGUUACUGACGCUGAGACGCGAAAGCGUGGGGAGCAAACAGG
rnacentral:rRNA from 1 species